UGCCCCCUCCACGGCCGCGGCCUCAGUGCCUCAUGGCCGCAAAGCCGAGCGAGGCCCCACUCAUUGCCGCUUAGCUCCUUCCCUCCUUCCACCUCUUCCAUGUCAGUGUUCAUUGCACAACCCCACAGGUACCGAAUUAUUUCCUUGGUUUUUAAAAGAGCCCUCAGACAAGCCAUCUGAAGUCUUAUUAUUUGCCGUGGCAUUAUCAAGAAAACCCAGUAUGUGGCUAAGACAAGUAUAUGGAUAGAAAAGUUUGUUUACGCUUAGGCUUGGUGUGAUGGAGUGGAUGCUCAUUGAAAGAAGCAUUUCAAGGACCUGGAGGGCUCCUGUUAUUGAAUCCUCCGUGCUUCGACUCAGUGUGUGGCAAGGGCUGUAAAUCCUCUGAGAGCUGUUUUCAUUUUUCGAUGCUCUUAACACACAGCAACAGAGGCAAGAAAUGUCUCUGUCUUUUCUGAUGCAGCCGGACUGACUUCUAUUAGCCAAGCCUUGUGUUCCCUAGGUUAAGCUACUACCUACCAAUUUACUAGGAAGAGCAGUUUUAAUGUAGAAAAAUACCAAACAGUUGAUCUGCUGUGUAAUGGAGGCAUUAAAGGGAAUUUUUUUAAAGUGCGUCAACUGAGAGGAGCAGUUGCACUAGUAGUUGGGAUUUUCUCUUCAACUGUAGAUUGGCUUUAAGGUCUCCAUCUUCAAAGAUGAGAUGAGGAGGUUAGCAGAUGAAUCAGGUUAAUUGCUCAGUCAUCAUUAGGUCUGUUUUCCCCUCCUUCCUAAGCAUGCUAUGAACAACAAGUAGUUGGGUUUCUCAAGCCCAGUGUUAUUCCUGGGAAAGGAGAACAAGAUCCAACACAACGUGGUAAUUUGAAUUGUGGACUCCCCCCGGUAGUCACACUCUCUGCCCAGAAAGGACACUGCUGGACUGAUUGACAGCAUGGCAAUCAACUCCCUCAGAAAGACGAAUCUUCAUACUCCGGUACAAUGUAUGCAGAGACUGAACUGAUGGAAACAGGCGAAAGUCACAAGCAGAGUCAAUCGUCAGUGAAAUGUAAGGACUACGAAAGGACACAAAAUAUUUUGGUUUCUUUAUUGUUGAGGAAUAGAUUCAGUGCAGGUAGCUCGGUUUGCAAGCUGCGAGAGCCCCAGGCAAGGGGCUGUGAAGCACCAACCCUUUGUGUAACAAGAGGCCAGACCUGUGGCACCGGCCAGGGGAGCGGAUCCUCAGACACGGCAGGAGCCAACGAUCCCCUCACUUGACGUGCUAAGACUCUCAGGGGAUUAAAGCACAGCCUCUCCUUUGUUCGUGGUCCCUCCUGGAGGCACCAACUCGAGCUGUUGUUUGUUCUUUAGUUGUUGCACAGAGAGUAAAUUAUUUUAAGGAUCGGGACGUCUGAGACUGCUAUUGGAAACCUGGGGACAAGCAGUAAGGAGGUUCACCAGCAAGAGCACUUGAACAAUUCAAGAGAUGGAAACAUGCAAGGUUACUCCAUUAACACUGGAAAGCAUACAUAGAAGGAUGCCAAGGUAUUUUUGCUACCUUCAGCUACUACUGUAUUCAUGAACUGUGUGGUCUAUGUGUCAAGCUUACAUAUCCUAUGAACUUACCAAAGAGUUCUCUACACUGUGUUAAGUUAGUAAAAAAACCCCAACGUUCUUUGCUUCCUUUCAAUAUGAAGUUAUAUGUGAAAUAUUUUUAAAAGCUUAUAAAAGCAGUAAAACUACAGACCUUUAAAGCCAUUUCUCUAAUAUUAAAGGCUACUUGAACACCCUCAUUUUGCUACAAGACUGUGUUUUUCAUUAAAUUACAUCAAAAAAAGGAAGUAUCUUUUUAAAAAGAAGUCACAGGUAAGGAAAAGUUAGAGACACGUUUGGAGUUUUUCUUUAGUUUUGCAACAUAUAAAAAUAAGUUACACUAUAUAUUAUGGCUUUCAUUUAUUUAUCUACUUAUUUAGUAGCAGUGUCAUCAUGGAUUUAAACACUAGAUGUAAAUAAUUAACCUGCCACGUUCUUCAGACUUUCCUUGAGUUUUGAAAUUGUGUACAAAAAGAAACAAAUAUCAGAGGGAAAAUUAGGAAUCUUCCAGAAAACCUUAGAUAGCAAGAAGCACCUGUAGGAAAAGGUUUUCAGAGAAUUUUUUAACUCCAUUUAUAAUUUUUAUUUGAUUUUUGAAGUAAUUUAAAAUUGAAGUUUAAAUUUUAAAUUUUAUCUUCUUGGCUAAGUAAAGGCCAAGCCAAAUAUCCCAUGCACUUCAAUAGUCAGGACUUCCUACUGAGCUUCAUUUCAAAAAUGUUUACAUACCAGUAUGAUACUAUUAUGUUACUGAAGUAAUGAUGGCUCUGGCUCUUUAAUGGUUGUUAAUAAUACAAGGUAAUAGAUUUGGUAUGCAGCUAUCUGAAAAAGGCCACAAUAGUGCUAAACCAACAUGACUCAAAAUGGCAACACAAGUGCUCAAUAUUUAGUGCUGUUCGCUACCAAUGGAAGGAGAGGUUCAGUACAAAAGGUGCUUGAAUCAGACAAAGACUUCAGUUACAUACUGAUGUAUUAUUAAUGGCUAUAUUAUUAAUAUACUUACAUUUUGAGGACUAAAGUUGCAUUCAAAUUGGACAAGCUAUGACGACAUUCAAAUACACGUAAAUAAAAAGAAUUCUAGAUUCAUAGCCAAAGUAGUAACAAAAAAAUCUUAUUGUGCAGU